rnacentral:rRNA from 1 species
CCAGAUUAUUACUAAUAGUCAAAACUUUCAACAACGGAUCUCUUGGUUCUCGCAUCGAUGAAGAACGCAGCGAAAUGCGAUACGUAAUAUGAAUUGCAGAUAUUCGUGAAUCAUCGAAUCUUUGAACGCACAUUGCGCCCUCUGGUAUUCCGGAGGGCAUGCCUGUUUGAGCGUCGUUUCUCCCUCAAACCGCUGGGUUUGGUGUUGAGCAAUACCACUUGGGUUUGCUUGAAAGACGGUAGUGGUAAGGCGGGAUCGCUUUGACAAUGGCUUAGGUCUAACCAAAAACAUUGCUUGCGGCGGUAACGUCUACCACGUAUAUCUUCAAACUUUGACCUCAAAUCAGGUAGGACUACCCGCUGAACUUAAGCAUAUCAAUAAAGC